UUUAGAAAAACGUUGCCUGAGAGGGGAUAUGAUAACAUUAUACAAAUAUAUUCGGGGCCAAUACAAACCAUUGUGUGGAAAUCUAUUCACAAACCGGACUUUACAUAGGACACGAGGCCAUGCGUUUAGACUGGAAGAAAGAAGAUUUCGUCUAAGGCAAAGGAAAGGUUUUUUUACUGUAAGAACAAUCAGGAUGUGGAU